UACAGAGGUCUCGAGCGUUGUUCGGAUUCAUUGGGCGUAAAGGGUGCGUAGGCGGCGUGGCAAGUCUGAUGUGAAAUCCCGGGGCUCAACCCCGGAACUGCAUUGGAUACUGCCAUGCUAGAGUACUGGAGAGGAGAUUGGAAUUUACGGUGUAGCAGUGAAAUGCGUAGAGAUCGGGAGGAACACCAGUGGCGAAGGCGGCCUUCUGGACCAAUACUGACGCUCAUGCACGAAAGCGUGGGGAGCAAACAGG
rnacentral:rRNA from 1 species